UAGAUGAAUGCUCGCUGGUUUGGGCGCUUAGCUGUUAACUAAGAGUUCGCAGGAUCGAAGCCUGCUCGUCUAG
rfam:Epulopiscium sp. SCG-B11WGA-EpuloA1 SCGB11WGA_61, whole genome shotgun sequence.